rnacentral:rRNA from 1 species
UCACUCAAAGAUGAUCCCGCGUUGUAUUAGCUAGUUGGUGAGGUAAAGGCUCACCAAGGCGAUGAUACAUAGCCGACCUGAGAGGGUGAUCGGCCACAUUGGGACUGAGACACGGCCCAAACUCCUACGGGAGGCAGCAGUAGGGAAUCUUCGGCAAUGGACGAAAGUCUGACCGAGCAACGCCGCGUGAGUGAAGAAGGUUUUCGGAUCGUAAAACUCCGUUGGUAGAGAAGAACGUUGGUGAGAGUGGAAAGCUCAUCAAGUGACGGUAACUACCCAGAAAGGGACGGCUAACUACGUGCCAGCAGCCGCGGUAAUACGUAGGUCCCGAGCGUUGUCCGGAUUUAUUGGGCGUAAAGCGAGCGCAGGUGGUUUAUUAAGUCUGGUGUAAAAGGCAGUGGCUCAACCAUUGUAUGCAUUGGAAACUGGUAGACUUGAGUGCAGGAGAGGAGAGUGGAAUUCCAUAUGUAGCGGUGAAAUGCGUAGAUAU